GACGAACGCUGGCGGCAUGCCUAGUACAUGCAAGUCGAGCGAACAGAUGAAGUGCUUGCAUUUCUGACGUUAGCGGCGAACGGGUGAGUAACACGUAAGGAAUCUACCUAUAAGCGGGGGAUAACAUUCGGAAACGGGUGCUAAUACCGCAUAAUAUCUUCUUCCGCAUGGAAGAAGAUUGAAAGACGGCUCUGCUGUCACUUAUAGAUGACCUUGCGGUGCAUUAGUUAGUUGGUGGGGUAAUGGCCUACCAAGACGAUGAUGCAUAGCCGAGCUGAGAGGGUGAUCGGCCACAUUGGGACUGAGACACGGCCCAAACUCCUACGGGAGGCAGCAGUAGGGAAUCUUCCGCAAUGGGCGAAAGCCUGACGGAGCAAUGCCGCGUGAGUGAAGAAGGCCUUCGGGUCGUAAAACUCUGUUAUAAGAGAAGAACAAAUUGUAGAGUAACUGCUACAGUCUUGACGGUAUCUUAUCAGAAAGCCACGGCUAACUACGUGCCAGCCGCCGCCGUAA
rnacentral:rRNA from 1 species